GUCUUUUAUUCGCAUAGUAUCUUAUUAUAUAAUAACAAUUAUUUAAUUUGUGUAUACUAGAAAUUCAAUAAAAAAAAUAGACUUACUAGUCUAUUAUCAUUUACAAUGUCAUUUUAUUACAAUAAGUCACGGUUUUAAGUACUUAGUUUAGUAUCUAAAUCAGUGUGUUUAGUUAAUAAUCGACAAAGACAAUGCGGGUACUAGGGUGACGUCAUUUCAAUACCCAGAAAAUAAGUGUUUUUCUCGGGUUUUGGAGGGGUUAUAAUUCAGAAAUAAAGGUUACAAAUAAUAACAAAUUCCUUAGUAAAUAAUGGUUUUCGUUUGGUUCUGAAAUUCCAAAGUGUGAGUACCAGAAAGACAGACCUCCUUCCUACCUACAUCAAUUUAUACUUAUUUCUAUAUAUAUAGUAACUAAAAUUGUUUAGCAAAAUACCGUAAGAAUAUACUUAAAAAAUAUUGAUUACACACAUAAAAAUCAUGUAUAUUAUAAAAGGUUCACCGGAUUGAAGUUGUAAAAAGAAAAAAUUGUUAAUUUUCCCUACGAGUUCUUUCUACUGUUGAAGGCCGAAAUUGGGGAAAUGGCAAAGUAAGUAGUUCCCGCGUAUGACGAGACAGACCCGCUUCUCACGCUGGUCGUUUCACUUGUUGGCGGCUAUGGCUUAAAGAAGAUAUCCCCUACUGGAGUGCCGUGAUUCCAGUGGAUCUUGUACCGGAUGUUUGCAGCUCUCUCUCGUGGACGUUGGAAGACUCUUGUCGCGCCGCUGUGAUCGAAUAAAUAUCAUAACACUCAUUUGCGCUCGAAUAUAUGGUCGUUAGAACUUCGUACGAGUGACAAAGCACCGUUGAAAUCCGACAAGGGAAAAUGGCUGGGUGCUUCCCACGUACGACCUGUUUUUGAGACAGACCCGCGGAACACGUCCGGGAAAUAGUGGCGAUGGAUAGAGAGACCAAAAAUAACGUCGUUCGUCCGCCUCGAUCGGCUGGUGUUUAUGCUGUGUUUGCCAUCUCGACCAGAUUCGCGUGCUCAUUUAAACGCAUGCAUUCUAAAUUG